rnacentral:rRNA from 1 species
GAUCCUGGCUCAGGAUGAACGCUAGCGGCAGGCCUCAUACAUGCAAGUCGAGGGGCAGCGAAACACUUCGGUGUUGUCGGCGACCGGCGAACGGGUGCGUAAUGCGCAUGCAAUCUACUUUACACUGGGGAAUAGCCUCCGGAAACGGGAAUUAAUACCUCAUGUAAUCUUAUUAACGCAUGUUAAAAAGAUAAAAGCUCCGGCGGUGUAAAAUGAGCGUGCGUCCUAUUAGCUAGUUGGUGAGG